CAUCACCUCCUUCUUUGUCCUAAUGCGAUGCCAGGCAGAAGAAAGAGGAAAGACGAGUCAAACCUUGUCCCUUCCCACCAGGAGCUCACGAUCUAAAAUUAAGAUAAAGAAAGUGGACACGAUUCAAUGUGGCAAGUGCUCUGCUGAGGCCUGUCCGACAUGCCAUGGAGCAUGGAGAAGAGGGUGGCUCCCCUAUAUUUAAUGGCCUAAGACAAAGGAGGUCAGCAGCCUAUGGAGGAAGCAGAACUUAUUUAGAAGAAAGAUGUUUCCAAAAAAUUGAGAAGAAUAUCGGAGCCUUUUAACAAACACAGAUGGAUUUCGUAUUUAUUCUGCUUUCGUAAUAGAAUUUGACCUAUCCUGAAAUGA